CUUCCACUGUGGUGUUGAUGGAGUCUGUUACUGAAGCUCAUCCAGUGUUGCUGGAAUAGUCCUCCUUCUCAUCUGAAGAUACAUGAAACCCACAAGUGCCCCGAUUUGAAGCAAUAAUAUUUUCCAGUUGCGCCAAUUGAAUCCUGCCCGCUUUAAGAGCAUGGCAUGGAACUGUUGCUUGUGAAGAGCCAACUGUAAGAGGAGAGAAAGGUGACAUUACAGAGAUCACGGAUCCGCAUGGAAUGUUUCAAAUCUUAAGAGAUGUACACACUUUGUAUACACAUAUACCUGGGGAGAAGGUGAACGUUGUUUGUAGACUACUUAACAAGUAAAAUUUACUCUCUGUAUAAUGUGUUCAUUAAAAGGACUGGCUUGGCUCCUAACCUAA